rnacentral:rRNA from 1 species
UACGGAGGGUGCAAGCGUUAUUCGGAAUUAUUGGGCGUAAAGGGCGCGUAGGCGGCUUUAUAAGUCUGAUGUGAAAGCCCGGGGCUUAACUCCGGAAGUGCAUUGGAUACUGUAAGGCUUGAGUAUGGGAGAGGGUAGCGGAAUUCCUGGUGUAGAGGUGAAAUUCGUAGAUAUCAGGAGGAACACCGGUGGCGAAGGCGGCUACCUGGACCAAUACUGACGCUGAGGCGCGAAGGCGUGGGGAGCAAACAGG